CUUUAGAUUAAAGGUGUGUUUGGUGUCUGGCAUCGACACAAAAACGACACAUGGGUUUCAGUUCUAUUUUUCAAAUUACCAAAGCUCUAUACGUAUCGUUUGUCAAUGUUUCAUAGAAAAUACGAUUUUCCCCCUACCACAUAAAAAAUAAAAACUUAGCCAUUGUAGUCAAUGAAAUUAUAAACUUUUGUCAAUUUAAUCCCUCAAAUUUGCGAAAUAGUAACUUGGUCAUUUAAGUUGAAAAAUAUCAUUCAACUUGGACAUUUUCUUAACCCAUGCAUCAAAACAAGCAAGGAAUCUCAAAAAUUUUGGUGAAAAAUUUAAGAAAAAGACCAUGUUAAUAGAUUUUCACAAACAUUUGGACGAGAUACAUCAAUUUUUUUUUAAGAAGCGAGAUACAUGAACUUUUAUUGACUCUUAUAUGAAUUAUUUUGCAAAUUUGAAGGACUAUGUUUUUUUUGGCUAAUUUAACUUCUAACAUUUCACUUAUAAUUUAUACAUAAAUGGAAGG
rnacentral:lncRNA from 1 species